UAUUUUAAAUAAGUGUCUUUGUUAUAGUGUAUAGAUUAUAGCUAGUGUAUUAGGCUUGCACGGGCUGACGAUAUGAUGAGUUAGUGUUAGCUUGUGCGCCGGUCAUGAUCCGAGAUUGGGUCGUGACAAUAGAGAUACAAAAAAAAUAUCUUAUUAUACUUAGCUAUCUUCAUAGUUGUGUAACUAUUUAUUAUACGCCUCUAUAGAAUAUUCUAGUUAGUAUCUUAAUACACAAUCAUAGGAAAUAAAUAAGGAGAAUGUUAACAUGUGCACCAAUGACACAUAUUAAGGAAACAAAAAUAGAAAGUAUUAAAUGUUGAAGCAUUAAAUUUUAACUUUUUAAGCAUUAAAUUUUUGUAUCAUUAAAUAUUAAAUUUCUAUAUUAAGAUACCUUAACAUGUGCCUUAUAUGCACAUGUUAAGACCAUCUCCAAUGGUGUAGUACCUAUUAGGUACUCAUGGUACUUAUUAGGUACUACCAUUGGAGCACAACACAUUUUAGUACCUAAUAAGUACUCCUUCUAAUAUAAGAACUCUCUC
rnacentral:lncRNA from 1 species